rnacentral:lncRNA from 1 species
AGCCAAAGCAGAGGAGCGCUGGCUUCUCCGGCUCUACACUAAUACGGUACUGUGCCCGGCCGUGCUGGAACGCUUCAACC